rnacentral:lncRNA from 13 species
GGAUAUCCUAGGCAGCUUAGAGGGUGAUGGCUAAGGCGUUGUGAGGCUGCCAGCUGCUGCCGUGAGGAUGGUGGUGGGGUUGCUGCCUCGACUGUCGCGGGGCUGACGGCUGCUGCCAUGGGAUGGUGUCAGGGAUGCUGUGGAGGGUGCUAUGGAUGCUGCCUGGGCUGUCGUGGAGCUGACGGCGAAGCCGGUGUUGUGCUGACAGCCGGGCAGCCGCGCAGCUGCCGGCUCGGCUGCUCCUGGGGCGAAGCCUGCGCCCCUGUGGGGCUGACAGCGAGGGGAGCACCGAAGAGCUGAGCACUUCAGGCCGGAGUUGCUGGGGGGCCGGGCGGGGACUCUGAGCCGGCCCUUCCACCGCCACCUGCGCCGCGCUCCCCGCGGCCCCGCCCCGGUCCCACGGGCGGCGGCGGGGGUGUCGCUACCGAGGGCGUGCGGGCGGAGGAGGAGGAGGAGGAGGAGGAGGCGGCGGGAGGAGUAAGGCGGCGGCAGCAGCAGCAGCUCUCGGGAGGAGCCUGUCCACCGUGAGACAGCACAUUCAGCCGGCGGCGGCGGUCCUGCCGCAGCGGCGGGCGGCACGGCACAGCUCGGCUCGGCUCGGCUCGUCACGGCUCUGCUCAGCACGGCUCGGCUCGGCUCGGCAGGGCGCAGCUACUGGCAGCAGCCCUUCAGGCAGCGGGGCAUCCCUCUGCUCUCCCGGCGGCGAGCGCUCGGUGAGAGCUGCAAGGCGCCGGGAGCCGCUCCGCAUCUCCCGGGCGCCGGCGGAGAAGGUUUCUGAUCUCACCAAAUCAAGGGAUGAAUCAGGAGUAAGUAUGAUUAAAGUUGUUGGCCUCCCAUUUUUGUGUUAUUUUUCUUGAGGUAGUGUGUACAUAUAUAUAUGUCAAUAAGAAGGCUGUGCUUUCUCCUAUCACAUAAUGACCAGUUUUGAUAAAUGAUUAACUAUUA